AAAAACUGUCUAAAAAAAAAGGAAAAGCCCUGUUAUCUUCUGCCACUAUUCUCUUCAUAUCUCCAAGGCCUCAAAUGAAAUUGUGCAGGGCUGAGACACCUGAAUUUUUCCUCGAAUACAUGAAAGGAAAUUCUGUGCCUGAACCUCUCAGACCUUCUCCCAGUGGAAUUCCUUUUGAGUGUUCAUAUCUCAAAACCUUAUGUAACCUGACACAAUUACCUGAAAAAGCUCGGAAUCCAAAGAACACUGUUAUCAGUUGUUCCGCCAAGAAAAGACCUGAAUCAGGGGUGACAGAAGCUGUCAAGGAAGCAAGUUUUGGAAUUAAUAUUAAUAAUCAAGUUGCCUUAAUUCUGCCUUUGGGAGACAUAUUUUUAAUCCAGAAGCAAAUAGAAAAGAUUGGUUAUCUUUUGCCUAGUAAUGUCCACUGAAUAAUGCCAAUCUUCUAGCUGAAGGCCAGGGGCAACGAUGCCUGGUGGUUAGGAGCUGUGUUGGCUGGCUGUGUGGCCUCGAACAUAGCAAUUAACUUCUGUAGGUCUUUCUCUUUAGUAGUUUAGAAGUUGCUCCAGAGGGAUGAUUCAAGGAUAGUAAAUAAAAUAAAGCAUAAGCAAGUUGAGCAGAAGGACUGGCAUGCAACAAACACAAUAAAUGUGGAAGAUUAUUAAUAACUCCAAAUCAUACCAGCAGAUCCAAGA